rnacentral:rRNA from 1 species
UACGUAGGGGGCUAGCGUUGUCCGGAAUCAUUGGGCGUAAAGCGCGUGUAGGCGGCCCGGUAGGUCCGCUGUGAAAGUCGGGGGCUCAACCCUCGGAUGCCGGUGGAUACUGUCGGGCUUGAGUACGGAAGAGGCGAGUGGAAUUCCUGGUGUAGCGGUGAAAUGCGCAGAUAUCAGGAGGAACACCUAUUGCGAAGGCAGCUCGCUGGGACGUGACUGACGCUGAGACGCGAAAGCGUGGGGAGCAAACAGG